rnacentral:rRNA from 1 species
CACACGACUCUCGGCAACGGAUAUCUCGGCUCUCGCAUCGAUGAAGAACGCAGCAAAAUGCGAUACCUGGUGUGAAUUGCAGAAUCCCGCGAACCAUCGAGUUUUUGAACGCAAGUUGCGCCCGAGGCCUUCUGGUCGAGGGCACUCCUGCCUGGGCGUCACG